rnacentral:rRNA from 1 species
UGGGGAAUAUUGGACAAUGGGGGGAACCCUGAUCCAGCCAUGCCGCGUGUGUGAAGAAGGCCUUAUGGUUGUAAAGCACUUUAAGCGAGGAGGAGGGUACUGGUAUUAAUACUACCAGGUACUGGACGUUACUCGCAGAAUAAGCACCGGCUAACUCUGUGCCAGCAGCCGCGGUAAUACAGAGGGUGCAAGCGUUAAUCGGAAUUACUGGGCGUAAAGCGCGCGUAGGUGGUUCGUUAAGUUGAAUGUGAAAGCCCCGGGCUCAACCUGGGAACUGCAUCCAAAACUGGCGAGCUAGAGUAGGGCAGAGGGUGGUGGAAUUUCCUGUGUAGCGGUGAAAUGCGUAGAGAUCUGGAGGAAUACCGAUGGCGAAGGCAGCCAUCUGGCCUAACACUGACGCUGAGGUACGAAAGCAUGGGGAGCAAACAGG